CAUAUCAAGAUGAAAUGUCAUAAUUUCUUUUAUGCUGUAUAUAUUUUUACACUUAAACAACUCGAACACUAUUUCUUCCCACAGUUGUGCCUCCCUCUCAGAGCUAAAGGAGAACUAGAUGUGUCCCAGCUUGGACAUCAUGGAGAGUGAAAUCAAAGUUCUGUUUGAUUUAUCUGAUGAGUUCAUUUUACAGCAUCUUAUUGCUCUGCGUCUUCAACUGCUCAGCCUUGUGGUGAGAUUUCCUAGGGGUAAUUAUUUCCCACUGACUCAGACCACAGGACAGUGUGAACACCUAACAAAUAGUAUGAGGCUGAUAUGGAGAAUAUACCAAGUCAACUGGAUGAGUCAGCACAGGCAGUACAAUGGACUGCAGUUAAGAGCUAGGGCUAGGACUUGGAGGAUGUGUAGGCAAACGGAAAGAGAGCCGGGGAAAGAAAAACCGAAAUGGAUUCAUUCUCUCUCCUGGAUGGAGGAGGAGAGGAGAAGAGAAGGGGACGUGCGAGCUUCCUUCAACUGCCUCUGUCCGGUGAAAAGUGCUCAGACCCCCGGGGCUGCGCCGGGCUCCGGAGUCCGCGCGGACUUUCGCGUUGAGCUGCCAAUCAAACCGCUCACAGCCACCACCCUGCUCUGGCACCGACAUGUAAGUAGCUGCAGCACAACUUUGACAUUCACAGUUUUUCCCCCCUCCUCCCCCGUGACCUUUAAAACGAUCUGGAAAUGUAGCUCCCACCUACGACCCGCCGCUCUGAGCUCCACCGCGUUGAGCUCGGGGACUCGCGCACGGGUUUGGGCUCGGCUGAAAUUGCGCGGCCGCGCAUGGCGAGCGACGCGCUGGGCAGAAGCGCUCCCGGUCCGCGGGCUGCAUCUGCCCUGUCUGCUCCUCACCCGCGGGGAGCGCUCGGGUGAAGCAGAGGGGGGGGGGGGGGGGGGGGGGGGGGGGGGGGGGGGGGGGGGGGGGGGGGGGGGGGGG
rnacentral:lncRNA from 1 species